CCUACGGGCGGCAGCAGUGGGGGAUAUUGCACAAUGGGGGAAACCCUGAUGCAGCGACGCCGCGUGUGGGAAGACGGUCCUCUGGAUUGUAAACUACUGUUCCCAGGGACAAAGAUGAUGGUACCUGGGGUGGAAGCUCCGGCUAACUACGUGCCAGCAGCCGCGGUAAUACGCAGGGAGCGAGCGUUGUCGGGAAUUACGGGGUGUAAAGGGAGCGUAGGCGGGACUGUAAGUUGGGGGUAAAAUCUACCGGCUCAACCGGGAACCGCACUCGAAACUGCAGUUCUUGAGUGAAGGAGAGGCAGGCGGAAUUCCUAGUGUAGCGGUGAAAGGCGUAGAUAUUAGGAGGAACACCAGUGGCGAAGGCGGCCUGCUGGGCUUUAACUGACGCUGAGGCUCGAAAGUGUGGGGAGCAAACAGGAUUAGAUACCCUUGUAGUC
rnacentral:rRNA from 1 species